UCCUAGCUUCCACAAAGUUUGUAGUUUUGUUCAAAAAUCUAACAAAAAAGCACUUAUGGUGAAGUUUGCCUUGUAACAAAGGCAGACCUCUAUGACCCUCUGAUUUUAUCUGCAGCUUUUUUUACAGGGUGUCUUUAGUGAGAAUGAUACCCGGGGACAUAAAGAGCACUUUGUAAAGCAGCUCAGUGACAUCUGCACAAUAGGACACUGAUGACUGAACACACCACUCCUACACUAUAGAUGAUAAUGAAAGCGGAAAACCAACCAUAUCUCUGUGAUUAUUACCACUCCAGGAUAAGUCCCUGGAGGGCCAGGCACUACUGCAAACAGACAUGUCCUGAAGGAAGCAGAAGUGCAUGGGAAGCCCGUGCUGGAUCAGGCUCCUGCCAGCAUCUUCAGCCUGUGGAGAGAAGUCCACACAGAACCAGGUUUUCUGGACAGAGCUGUGACACAUGGGGGAGUCAUGCUAAAGCAAUUCACUCCCAAAGGACUGUACACCAUGGAAAUACGCCCUAUUCUGGACAAGCAAGGAAUUUCCAUUUAGAAAUUCUGACCACAAGCCCAUUCCAUAUCGCCCUGAGCUCACUCUGUUAUUAAUUGGCAAUAAAUUAAAGUAAUCUUCUCUGACCUGAGGGUUUUUUGCCCAUAAGGAAUACUGGAUGCUGAUUGGCAAAAAAUGUGUUGAGACUGUUAAAGACAGUUCUGAAGAAACUUAGGAGCUUCCCAUUUUCUACUUCAGAUUUCACAAGAUGUUGCAGUUCCCCUGAUGGCUAUUGUGAAUGCUCCAGGGACUUUUGGUCCGAGAGGUACAGUGGUUCAGCUCACUGAGGCUUCCAUUUAAUAUGGUACUAUUCAUCCAAGGAGAACAAAUGGUUGCUCCUUUGGCUGACCACAGACUCUCUCCUGGAGGAACUUUUCCUGUCAGACCACUCCAUUACAGAACCAAUCAGCAAUUCAGUGCCUUUUUUAUACUUCAGUUUUAACAAGGUCUCAUCCACCUUUCUUUAUGCUUUGUCAUGGUCUUCUGUGUCAUUCUAUGCUAAAAACAAGCACUCUUGUUUGUAAUUUAUAAGAAUUUGUGUAUUCCUAUUAAAAAUCAAAAAAUGAGUGGCGAGGACAAUGAAAGGGAUCUGCUAAAACAAAAAUAUUUCAUCAUAUUAAUAGCUGCUCAGGAUCCAGCUGCUGAGAUUACAGGUUAAAAUUCCCAUUUCUCAGGUGAAGCUGUGUAGUGAGAGAAAUUAGGUGGUUGGAUUCCACUGAAAAAAUUCAUACAAUUAAAAUACCACUAUUUAUCAGCAGUUAACACUAUUAACUCAGGAGUGAUUGUUGUAUGUAUUUCAAGAAUUUUGUUUCAUUUGCCUGAAAUUCAAAGAUAUCUCUUAAUUCCUUGAUAGAUUGUUUAAAAAAAGAUAGAAAAACUAAGCAAAAAUGUUCCAUUCUCAUGAGGAUCUACCCUUCAGAAAUAUAUAAAAGACAGACCCCAAAUUGUCAUUUGAUGGAACUAUUUGCUUUUGUCUUCUUCCUUUGUAUCUUGCGUUUAGUUGUACCUCAUCCGUCACACUGCCUGUCCCACCUUAUUCUCCUUCCAAUGCUUGAGGAACCUGGCUCUGUCUGAGAUCAAGAGAAAGGAAAGUCAGGAGGGUUCUUAAUUUUAUCCCUGUACCAGCACUAAAACAUGUUUAGCCUCUAUGAAAAGACCUGAAUUUUUUUUUUAAGUAGAAGUUAAAAGGGAACAUACUGGGGAGAAGAAAAAAGAGGAAGCUCUAUGAAGACUUCAGUAUCAGUUCUAAGUUUAUAUUGUGGGCACUGUUUUUCCUCUAAUUCCCAGGAUUUCAGAUUUCUUUUAAAAUAAUUUUUCCAUAGCUUUGUAUUCUUUUUUUAAAUUUGGAACAUUUUUAACUCACCAACUCAGUGCAAAGAUCAAGUUUUUUAUUUUAUUAGGAAGGUUAUUCUAGAAAAGUUAUUUUUUAUUUUCAGGAAGUACUUUAACAGUUUUCCACAGCAGGUUUAGUAGUGUCACAUGCAAAAUGGAUACUCUGUAAUAUUGAGGAGGAAGGGUGGUUUCUAGCAAGUGCCACUAGGUCCAUCUGCCAAGGAACAGCCAUAUCUAAGUUCUUGCUUUCAUAUGGCUUCCUCUGGGAAGGGACAUUCUUUAUACAGAGCCCUACUCUACUUGCAGGCACAUAUGUUAUUCAAAAUGGUGCCAUGUAGUCACUUGGAAAUGAGUCUUCUGGCAUGGGGUUAGAUGGAAGAAGGAAAAAAGCACUCUCUCUGUUUAUUCACUCUCCCUGUUCCCAGUUUCCCCGCUUCCCCAUUUCCGUGUUUGUGUGCUUCUCCAUCCUACACACAAAGGAACUAUGACUUAUACUCGGCUACAGAACAUUUGUGCAUGUAUCUAACUUUUUAUCUGUAUCUUCCAUUUUGUUCAAGAAAUCAAGUGCUGGCUGUCUGUAUUUCUCACAAAAAUGAAGUGUUUGCAACUGGUCUGCAAUGCAAUUCCCUUUCCAGCUAACACACCAAGGGAGCGUGAUGCCCCUUGUACGGUCUCUGGAAAUUCAUGAAAAUACAUCGUGAAAUGCUUGAGACUCAAGAUUUAAAGCAUUUGUAGUUGAUGUGACCUAACAAAUCUGCAGGUGCCAGCACAAAGUAUGUAGCCAGGCUGACAGAAGUACCCAGCUCCUGCAAUUAAAGAGCAGGCAGUCUCAGUAAUCAGGUAAGGUGAAAAGACAUUAAUUUUUAUAAAAUAAUCUUUUAACUUACAUAUAAUUUACCUAAAAUCUUCUUGUAUGUUUAUGCCAUGAGUGGACUUUGCAUCAUACGUUGGCUCCAUGAGUGGCUGCAAAGAUAUUUUUUUCUCUUUUAAGAGGUAUCAAAUAAGGAAAUCAGUAGAAAACUGCUGGCAAGGUUUUGGACAAAGGAUGAAGGAAGCAGCACCCGGCUUCUUGUGCUAAAAACUUUCUGUAGUUAUGUGGUGAGUGGAAGGAGGAACAGAGUUAAAGCUUUCAGAUCCUGAAUGGUCAGGUCCACCACACGGGCAGCAUCUCCUUCCCUGCUGGAGCUUUGUGACCCUGAUGUAUGUUUUUCUGUGUGUGCCCAAGGGGCACUAAUUAAAGACAUUCAAAUAAUUUGUAGUUACUGUUUCUAAAUAGAAGACGUACAUAGUUUACAUAGAACCAAUCCUUUCACCUUUACAAUGAGUUUGCAAUACCUUGGGGACUGCUGGCAAUGUAAGUAGUUGAUUAAUACAAACAGUGUGGUGGAAUUUGGCUCUAGGUGAUGGUGCUAAAAUAUUAUUUCUACUAAGUAGAACUACAUUAGGUGCAAUCUAGUUCCAUGACAGAGAUCAAGAGGAUGUGGGAAGACUUUCAUGAUUCCAAACAUAAGGGCUCAGCUGCUCAGUGUAGGAAGAAGCAUGGUAUGUGCAGAGGCUGCUAAGCUAUGCAGUCAUCAUAAAGGAAGAAGUCCAUAAUGGAAGUUGUGAAAAAUCCAAGAAAUGGGGUUUUUUUUGCACACAUUAGGACAUGCAAAAGCACAUGUUGUAUUUGCAGAACAUUCUUCUUAAACUCUGCAGGAACUCCACUUAUAAAAUAUUUAAGUCACUGUGGUUAUUCCUGAGAAUAUAGGGAGGAAAAGAUCCUUUUCUAAUCCUAAAAUGUCCUUUGGAAAACUGGUCUAGGAAGAAGUAUCAGAGAAAGUGCAAACACGAUUGUUUCAUUAUACCUGGUGACCUUCAAACAGAUACAGUCUAAGAAAUAACACAUGCAAGGAAAGAAACUGGGAUAUAUUCAGAAUUAAGAGAAAAUUCUGAAACAAAUAGGAGGAAAAAGGUGUGGUGAGGGAUAGAACUAUUGCAUUAAAAAUUGCUGCUGAGACUGUGUAAACCCACUAGCAAGUGUGUAAAUGGGAUAAUGGAAAUAUUUGCCUUUUUUAUAACAUCUUUAUUUUCUCCAAUUUUGACAGUCUUUGUGGUUGUACAGUACCACCAUCUAGAUCAUCCAUUUCCAUUUGCUUUUGAAAAGUCACAAAUUUCCACACAGUGGGGAUGAAGGGAGCAGAUCAUUGUUGCUGCAGUGUGAGCCAACAUAGUAAAUUUAAAAUGUAAUAAAUUUACAGGACACUUAUUUGUCUUCAGUAGCAAAUUGUGUGUACAUUUUUUUCUUUUUAAGAUCAUGUGAGAUAGCUUAAUCUACCUCAGAAACAGAACAAAAAAAUAUUAAAGAAAUGUGCAAUAUAAGUGACUGCAUGGGUAUUUAAUAUAGAGAAUCUUAAAGAAUCAAGUAAAAUAAAAUUUUUGCCUACCAAAAAUAAACAUAACAAAAAUAC